rnacentral:lncRNA from 1 species
GUCUAAAGGGAUUGGAAGGAACAGCUAAUGAGAAAGUGUCGAUGAGAAUACACGCUCUCUCUUUAUGUUCUCCCUGGUGGGCUCCUAGCAAUUCGGUGUUUUGGUCUGUCCUCCCUUUCAUCAGCUUCAGUCUGUACUUCAUACGCGCCCGAAACGAUCUUCAUUAAAUGUGGAAGGAAUGCCUUAGCAUUACCUUGGCAAAGAUGUUCCUUAGCGGUAAAAAUACAGAGCUCUUCCUGCAGCUCCUAUGAUUGGCCUCGUAAAGAAUUUCUGGAGUUGCAGGGUCCCGCGGGGUUUGGAUGACCCCCUAGAAUAGACAGAAGAGGGCGUGAUGGUUGGGGGGGGGGUGUUCUUCCCAUUUUUCUUGCAAUUUCAGCAGCAAAUUGUUGGCGAUGCAAAGAGUUUCCUCCCUUUUCAGUUUGUCACAUAGGUGGAAAGACCCUGCCUGGCUCUUACCAGGAACAGGUGGUGUUGGCAUGAAAAAUAAAGUUGCCUAAGAAGAGGCUGCACGCUGUCUGUCCCAGGACGCGGUGUGGAUGCAGAGUGGCUUCUGCCUGAGCCCGUGGGGCUGAGUCCUAGGUGCUCAGGCCAUAAACAGCCUUCAGGGCCCUUAAAGUUCUGCAUGGAGCAGGUGUUGGCAGAGCCACCCGCCUUCCACCGCUGUUGGCCCUUUAUGUCUGAGGCCCUAUGGAGCACCUGCCUUGACUGCUAAACCCUUCUGUUCACUUUACUUCCUGUUUCAAGUCAAAGCUAUUUUGCCAAACAUACUUGGGGUCUGUCUGUUCCUAAAACAUCUUCAUUUUUGUGCAUCAGACUCAGUAUUUCUUGGUAAAAAGCCAAGGUGCUGGUUUUAGGGAGCACUUAGUCCUUCUGCUGAUGACGAGGGCAAGGAUGGAGGCAUCUUUAGACCCCAGGUUGGACUCCUGAAGGCCCCCGUUCGAGUGUCCUUAAAGCAGCUGCAAACCCAGAUUUCCUCGUUGAUUCAUCGGGGCCAAGUCAGGGCGCAGGAGCUGGGGGUGGGGAGAAGGGUGUCCCCGCGGUCCCUGGAGCAUCUGAGAAAAACGCCUUGUUUCCGGGGAUGUUCUUAAGAGAAACCCACCUCCUUAACUGGCAGCCUCCUGGUGGGUGACUUCCUUGUGGAUUCCUUGAUCAUCAGGACAGAAGCCCGGGCCUCACUGUCCACGUGGGGCCUGGGUCCCCUGCUUUAUGGAUUUUCUAAAAGAGGCUUCCUGCUGCCGAAGGAGGCCUUCCGAGGACUUUGAACCACUUGCUGUUUCUGCUAAAUCCCUUCUUGGGGCGAAGGAACCAGAAUCUGAGAGGGGAUUUACUUACUGUGUGAGGUGAGCAGAAAUAAGUCUAAAGAUGCUACUGAGCUGUGAAGGGAAGUUGGGUUCCCCUCAUGUCCCCCACUGGCCAUCUGCUCCUGGGCCCCACCAGACGCCUUGCUCCUCAAACACAGCGGGCGUGGGCGUCCUCCUACCCCAGGGCCUUUGCACUCAAGUCCCUUUUCCAGGAAUGACUCCCCCAGACGUCCCCAUGACACUCCCUCCCUCCUUCAGGUCUUUACACAAAAGGCAGCACCAAGGCAACCAGGCGGCGUUUUCCCACCGCCUCUGCCUCCCCAGCCUGACUUAACUCACCCGCGACUGCUCGGUCUUCCCUUCUUAGCACGUGCCACUUCCAACACAGUCUGUGUUUCCCGUGGUUGUUGCCUUUGUGUUUUUCUCUACCCUUAACUCUAGAGUUUCUUUCUCACUCUAUGUAGUGUUUUCUAUAAUCCCCACGGUCUUACAAGAGUGCCUGACAUCCAGGAAAUUCUUGAUGGAUAAAUGAAAAGAUUUGGGUAUUCACUAAGAAAUGUUCUUUUUAUUCUCUUUCAUCACUCGGUUUCUCAAUCGCGAGCCUGGACCCAUGAAGGCUGUUGAGUGGUGGAUGUUGUCAGACCCAGCGUUCAAGGCUGACGGGCCUUCUUUCUCGGCUUACGGAAUGGAGGGAAAAGCGUGAACAUCGAGAAACAGCAGACAAGCGACCCCCAGGCCUAGCGAAGGGCCCAGAAAUCCAUAUUGCUAUCAAGCUGCUUUGAGAGUUCCUGAUUCUGAUGAUUAGACAAACACGGAAAAUCUUGAAUCAACGAUCCUGCCGGCGACCACAGCUGCCCCUUCCCUCCGGGGACAUGAAAUCAAAGGAUGACUCACGAUCACGGCGGGCGACCCUUCCUGGAGCACCGACGGAACGAGUCCCAACAGAACGAGUCCGGGUUAUCUGUGAAGUGUCCACACCAGGGACGCGGGGUUUGAGAACUCGACACUGUGCCGUGGUUUUCUUAGUCCUUCCGUUCCUCUGCCUUCCUGGUCCUGCUGCUUUCUCCUGGUUUCAUUUCUCUUACCUCAUAUCCUCUCACUGGAGAUUCGGUUGGGUUUUUUGGCGGGAUUUUUUUGUUUUGUGUUUUCUUUUUUCUUUUUACAGCUGCACCUGCAGCAUGUGGAAUUUCCUGGGUUAGGGGUCAAAUUGGAGCUGCAGCUGCCAGCUUACACUAUAGGCACAGCAACACUGGAUCUGAGCCACAUAUGUGACCUGCACCACAGCUCAUGGCAAAGCCAGAUCCUUAACUCAUUGAGCGAGGCCAGGGAUCGAACUCAGAUCUUCACGGAGACUUAUGGCAGGUUCUUAAUCCAUUUAGUCAUGAUGAAAACUCCUCAGUUGGGUUUUACGUUAGCUUUCCAGCUAUUUCUACGGCUUUUCAAAAUUAUUUCAUUCCUUUAAAAAUGUGUUUCUGUGUGGCCCCGCCCGUGGCAUGUGGAGGUUCCCCACCCGGGAUCACACCUGAGCCGUAGUCGAGACGAUGGUGGAUCUUUAACUGCUAGGCCCCGAGGGGACACCUACGGUUUUUAUAAAAAUAAUGCCUUCCCGUCUUCUGCAUUUCAAGUGACAUAAUUUACAUCAUUAUUUUUGGAUUUUUAAAAUAUUGUCUCAAUUCACCCUCUUGAUACCACCCUUUAUGAUACUGUGCUAAAUCAUGUCCGUUUUUUUUUAACCAGUCUUAGCCUGGGGGUCUGGCUCUCCAACAGAUGUCUUUGCCAUCCAGCUGUGUUAGCGCUGUCUUGUCAACUAAUCUUGUCAACUAAUUUACACCGGAAGCACAAGGCAGAUAAAUUAAAGUAUCUUUAGUUUACCUAGACUACUUCGACAUGCAUCCAAAAGCAUAAUAAGCAUAAACUAUGGAGAAUAAGUGCCAGAUUUUCUAGACACCAGGAGCAAUACCUUGGAGUUCCUGCCAUGGCGCAGUGGGUUAAGAACCUGACUGUGUUGGCUCAGGUUGCCGUGGAGGUGAGGGUUUGACCCCCGGCCUGGUGCAGUGGGUUAAAGGAUCCAGCCUUGCCACAGCUGCUGUGGAGGUCUUAGCUGUGGCUCGGAUUCAGUCCCUGGCCUGGGACCUUCCAGGUGCUGUGGGUGCGGCCAUAAGAACGGACCAAAUAACGAACGAACCAUUUCUUUCAGAACACGAUGACCCAUAAAUCAGCCGAGAGGGAUUCUCGAAGUAAAACCUAUCUCAGUCGCUUACAUCGGAUGUACUCCAGUGCCAUUGCUAACAUGGAGUUCUCCAGGAGACUGCUGGAGAGAAGCGGCCAGUUUACAGACGCGGACUCGGAGAGCAGAACCCGAGGGCUGACUGUUUCCAGAAUUUCUCCAGUGAUCGAAAUUUCCAGUUCGAGGUAGUCACAUGAUCAAGAAAGGAGGCAGGAGUUUUCCUGUGGAGCAGCAAGUUAAGGAUUCAGCCUUGUCACUGCAGCAGCUUGGGUCAGCACUGUGGCACAGGUUUGAUCCCUGGCCUGGGAACUUCCACAAGCUACAGGUGUGGCCAAAAAUAAAUAAAAUAACAUAUUAAAAAAGAGAGUUCUUGGAGUUCCCGUCAUGGCUCAGCGGAAAGGAAUCUGACUAGGAACCAUGAAGUUGCGGGUUUGAUCCCUGGCCUUGCUCAGUGGGUUAAGGAUCUGGCGUUGCUAUGGCUGUGGUGUAGGUGGCAGACGCAGCUCGG